AACGAACGCUGGCGGCAUGCCUAACACAUGCAAGUCGAACGAGAUCUUCGGGUCUAGUGGCGCACGGGUGCGUAACGCGUGGGAAUCUGCCCUUUGGUUCGGAAUAACAGUUGGAAACGACUGCUAAUACCGGAUGAUGACGAAAGUCCAAAGAUUUAUCGCCAGAGGAUGAGCCCGCGUAGGAUUAGCUAGUUGGUGUGGUAAAGGCGCACCAAGGCGACGAUCCUUAGCUGGUCUGAGAGGAUGAUCAGCCACACUGGGACUGAGACACGGCCCAGACUCCUACGGGAGGCAGCAGUGGGGAAUAUUGGACAAUGGGCGAAAGCCUGAUCUAGCAAUGCCGUGUGAGUGAUGAAGGCCUUAGGGUUGUAAAGCUCUUUUACCCGGGAUGAUAAUGACAGUACCGGGAGAAUAAGCGCCGGCUAACUCCGUGCCAGCCGCCGCAGUAA
rnacentral:rRNA from 1 species